ACGUCGGUAGCGCAGUGGUUAGUGCAGUCUGCCAAAAACAGAAAGGCGUGGGCUCAAUUCCCGUCCGAUGUC
rfam:Nippostrongylus brasiliensis genome assembly, scaffold: NBR_scaffold0004080